GGGGCCGUAAAGGCUUCGACGGGGAUUCUGAGGCACGAUAAGCGAGUAGUGAGGGCGAAAUCACUUUAAUCGUCGCAAACUUAAAUUUAAACGCAGACGAAGAUCUCGUUUUAGCAGCUGCCUAAGCGCGCUGCCGUCGUUCCUCGCAGUACCGCGGGCGGGGUAACGGCGUCGACUAGCGGUGAACGUCAGUUACAAAUAGCCUUAUAGUUUCUGAUGCAUUAAAGGCUACCAAACGCUGAAGCCUGUUUGUCGGCGUCGGCGCAAGGGAAUCUUAAAAGAUAAACUGCACUCGGAGAAAAUUGUGAGGACGGGUUUUCGGACAGGGGUUCAAUUCCCCUCGGCUCCACCA
rnacentral:tmRNA from 1 species